rfam:Populus trichocarpa isolate Nisqually-1 chromosome 5, whole genome shotgun sequence.
UCUAGAACUCGAGAUAUGGGCUGAACACUAAACAGUGUCUGGGCUACAGGACAAAUUCUGACUUCUCUUUUGUUGCUACAAUUUGAACUUGAAAACGACCGUUUUCAAUCUUAGACUCUUCAUGAAAGUUUUAGGCCUAUGUCUUACUUUUCAUC